rnacentral:ncRNA from 2 species
GCCGCCUGACCGGGGUGCCCAUAACUGAUGGGCUGAGAUCACACCCGUUGAACCUGAUCUGGGUCAUGCCAGCGAAGGGAGACAGCACGGCCCCGCC